rnacentral:rRNA from 1 species
GACAGAGGGUGCAAACGUUUGUUCGGAAUUACUGGGCGUAAAGCGCGUGUAGGCGGCACUACAAGUCGGAUGUGAAAUCCCCGCGGCUUAACCGUGGAAGUGCACCCGAAACUGUAGAGCUAGAGUCCCGGAGAGGAUGGUGGAAUACUUGGUGUAGAGGUGAAAUUCGUAGAUAUCAAGUGGAACACCGGUGGCGAAGGCGGCCAUCUGGACGGUGACUGACGCUGAGACGCGAAAGCGUGGGUAGCAAACAGG